UAUUACCAGACAACUCGACUGGGUGAGAAGAGCGAUGUGUACAGCUUCGGAAUUGUGUUAUUGGAGAUGAUCACAAACCAACCUGUGAUUGACCAAUCCCGUGCAAAGUCUCAUAUAUCACAAUGGGUUGCGUUUGAGCUUAACCGAGGAGAUAUUACUAAGAUCAUGGAUCCAAACCUGCACGGGGAUUACGAUUCUCGUUCUGUAUGGAGAGUUCUUGAACUGGCAAUGUCGUGUGCGAAUCCUUCUUCUGUGAACCGACCAAACAUGUCCCAAGUUGCUAAUGAACUGAAAGAAUGUCUUGUGUCUGAAAAAUCGAGGACGGACUCUCAGAGUUUUCUUCAAGUGAGCAUGAGCUUUGACACAGAGUUGUUUCCGAGGGCAAGAUAGUUUGUGCUGCAAGUAACACACAACCAUGCUAAUUAGUUGGGGGCUAUUGGUCUAGACACGUCCAUGUAAAAUAUGUAACACGAAUCAGUCAUUUUUGCUUUGAUCAUCGAAAUGUGAAGAUUAUAUUCUCCGGUACUUAUUGAUGUUAUCAUUCUUUGUAUGAAUGGAUUGGAUGCUUAUAAUCAUUGGCCGUAAAAGAUAAUACCUCUUUGUGGUUCCAUCAUUAGCAAACAAAUGAUUUUGGUUAAGUAUUUGUAAAAUAGUUGGAAAAGAGUAUUGAUUUAAAAUUUAGUACAGUCUGAUAGACAUUUCUCACUCAAUCUGCGUCCCUGAACAUUGCUUGUUUGGAAGUAAGAUAGGAUGUACUAAUUCACCAAACCAAAUCAAGUUCUCUAGAGAAGUAAAGAACCAGUAGAAUGUGGGCUGUGAAUCUUGAGAUUUCUUAUUCACUUAAUCACUUGUCUCUACUCUUAAACAUAAUUAUUAGGGCAUUAUUAGGCUAAUCACUUUAGCUAAACUUACAAGAGUCACAAAUUAGUGAAAUGGAUCUGAAUUCGUUCUAGAUAAUGGGCCGAGAAAACCCAAGUCUAAUCCUUGUGUUAUUUUCCCGCGACUGCGUUUACAACACUCCAAUCGUUUGAUCGCGUUCUCAAAUCAGUGCAAAUCGCCGCCGAUGAAGAGGUCUCAUCGUCAUCGCCGUCCUUCUCACGACGGGAAGUUUCGCUGUUGUAUAUGGCCGAUAUAUCGCCGGAGAUUCCUCACAACAGUCAUUGGGCCGGUUGACGCCGGCUGAAAGAGAUGGGACUCAAAAUGCCCGACCGGAAGGUAAUUUCUCAGUUAAAGAUAUGACUGAAAAUCCUGUAAAAACUGCAACUUUAGUUAUAUGGGCUAUGAUUUUAGAUAUCUGAUAAUGGCGUCUUUGUCUGGAAUUUGCUUGGUCAUGUUGACCCACUUCUCUUUUUAGAUAUAGUCAGCGUUGAUAAUUGUGAGUCCUCUGCUUUGUGAUUCGAAGCUGUUCUUGUCGAUGAAGACGUCAAAAUAUGUUUUAGUUAGUGAUAAAUUAUCCGAUAUGAUUCAAUCCAAGUCAAUGACCACUAGAAAGUCAAAUCUCUUGCUGUGAACAUUUUUUUAAUGCGUUAAAGAGUGGUGACUGUAAAACCUUUGAUUGACAGAUUCUCUUGAAAACCAAGAAACUGUAGAAGAUGUAUUCUUGGGACAUUUACUUAUUCGUUUCAUUGACCCUUUUUGUAAAGAAUUCAAGACUCAGGACAUCUUGCCAUGUUGCCAGAGGCUUGGAUUGUUUCUUGGGUUUAUCUAUUUAUACGCUUUGUUUCUCUCAAACUCGGGCAUUGGUAAUGUUUUGAUAUCUAAAAGCUAUUAUGGAUAGUCCUUGUCGGCUUUUGCUGCUGCUAUUAGGAGCUUUUGCCGUUAUUGGUUGUGUUCGAGCGCAGGAUCAACAAGGUAUCUACGUCUUAAUGGUUUUUAUGUAUAUACAUCUACUACUCCUUAAUGAUUCGAUUCUUAGUCAUGUUUGUACCUGAGAUGCUUUUGAUUUUUCACUCUCUUACCAGAGUUUAUCAGUUUGGAUUGUGGGUUACCCGUGAGUGAACCGUCUUCUUAUGUUGAGUCAGUAACCGGACUACGGUUCUCGUCUGAUGCUGAAUUCAUCCAGACUGGUAAAAGUGGUAAAAUCCAGGCGAAUAUGGAGAAUGACUACUUGAAGCCGUACACGAGGCUGAGAUAUUUUCCAGAUGAGAGAAGGAACUGCUAUAGUCUGAGUGUUGACAAGAAUAGGAAAUAUUUGAUCAGGGCUGGGUUCAUUUAUGGGAAUUACGAUGGUCUUAAUUCUAACCCGAUAUUUGAACUGCAUCUAGGCCCUAAUCUGUGGGCAACUAUAGAUUUGCAAAAGUUUGUGAAUGGUACAAUGGAGGAGAUCCUUCACACUCCAACAUCAAACUCGUUAAAGGUUUGUCUAGUUAAGACAGGGACAACUACACCCUUGAUCUCAGCCUUGGAAUUACGGCCAUUGGGAAAUAAUUCUUAUCGCACAGAGGGUUCUCUGAAUCUUCUCGUUCGGAUGUAUCUCAACAAGACAGAUGGCUUUCUUCGGUAAGUGUUUUUUUUUUUUUGGGGCAAAUCAGUGGUGGCUUCUAUAUUCAUAUACCCUUUAUUUUUAAAAUUCCUAUACUUAUUCAAGGCUAAUACAACCUUUGUUCCACAUAGGUACCCGGAUGAUGUUUAUGAUCGCAGAUGGCGUAAUUUCUUUUUGGUGGGUUGGACCCAAAUUUCCACCACUCUCGAAGUGAGCAAUGAUAACGAUUAUCAACCACCAAAAAAGGCUCUUGCAGCGGCUGCCACGCCUUCUAAUGCCAGUACGCCAUUGACAAUCAGUUGGACACCGGAUAAUCCUGGUGACCAAUAUUACUUGUACAGCCACUUCUCUGAGAUACAAGAUUUACAGACCAAUGAUACCAGGGAAUUUGACUUAUUAUGGGAUGGAGCUGUUGUUACUGAAGCUUUCAUCCCUGCAAAGUUAGGGGUAGAUACUAUCUAUAAUCCUUCUCCAGUGACUUGCAAAGGAGGAAAAUGCAGUUACCAGCUAAUAAAAACCUCAAGAUCAACGCUUCCUUCUCUACUUAACGCUCUUGAAAUCUACACAGUUAUCCGAUUUCCACAGUCGGAAACAAAUGAAAGUGAUGGUAUGUUACUUAUCUUCACUGUUGUGCAGAUAAGGUCUCUUUUUCUUUUUUUUUUUGAAGUAUAGAAAAUCAACUUCACCUGUUAAUCCUCACAUCAUUGAACUUUACAUCAGUGGUUGCUGUUAAAAAUAUCGAAGCAGCCUAUAAAUUGAGUAGAAUCAGGUGGCAAGGAGAUCCUUGCGUCCCUCAACAGUAUGCGUGGGAUGGUUUGAACUGUAGCAACACAGAUAUUUCUAAACCUCCAAGAGUAACAUCCUUGUAAGUCGUAAGAUCACACACACGCACAUGCACACUUAUCUUCAAAAUAUGUUAACUAUCAUGCUUUGAAUAACCAGAAAUUUGUCUUCAAGCGGGUUAACUGGAACCAUAGCAGCUGCGAUUCAAAACCUUACACAGCUAGAAAAACUGUAAGUAUCUCCAUUGUUAAUAAUGGUUUUGUUGAUGGAAGUAAACCUAAUGACCUCUACUUUAUUUUGGGAAUAAACUUUUAGGGACUUGUCAAAUAACACUUUAACUGGAGUGGUGCCCGAAUUUCUAGCCCAGAUGAAAUCGUUGGUAAUCAUGUAAGUUUCUCAGCAUAUAUUCUUUUAAUUUCAGUUCCCCUUUGGGUCAUGUGUAUGGAUGCAUGAAGCUUGCUCUUCUUUAAUAGAAACUUAAGCGGCAACAAUCUUAGUGGUCCCCUUCCUCAAGGUCUUCAAAGAGAGGGACUAGAUUUACUGUAAGAAACUUCUCACAUAGUUUUUAAUAUUCCGCAGUUAUUAUCCACAGCCUUGUUGUGAUUUGAUGUUUCUUAACAACACUCUUCUUCUUGCAGAGUUCAAGGAAACCCAAGGCUUUGUCUCUCUGGUUCCUGCACAGAAAAAAACUCGAAGAAGAAAUUUCCGGUGGUGAUUGUUGCAUCAGUUGCUUCUGUAGCCAUAAUCGUUGCUGUGUUGGUUCUUAUUUUUGUUCUCAAUAAGAGAAAGCCAUCGACUGUGGAAGGUAAUUUGCAGGAGAUCUCUCAUCAAAUCAAGAAACUACAAAAAUUCGAUGAAUAGUUUUUCUUACAUCCCCUAUUUUUUUUUUUUUUUUCUUCUCUAUAGCUCUACAACCUCCACUGAGUACGCCAAUGGUUCAUGAUAAUUCACCUGAACCAUCAAUCAAGACAAAAAAGAGAAGGUUUACUUAUUCAGAGGUUAUGAAAAUGACGAAUAAUUUCCAAAGAGUUGUAGGGGAAGGAGGAUUCGGUGUUGUGUGCCACGGUACUCUAAAUGGUUCUGAACAGGUGGCUGUUAAAGUACUCUCUAAAUCAUCAAGUCAAGGCUAUAAACAUUUUAAGGCUGAGGUACGUCUGAUCCUUCUAAAAAAAUCAUGAUCAUCUUAAGCAUCACAACCUUACGCUAUCUCUUGCUUUUAUUUUCCCAUGGAUGAUUAGGUCGAUCUUCUUCUACGAGUUCACCAUACAAAUUUGGUGAGCCUCGUUGGAUAUUGCGAUGAAAGAGAUCACUUGGCUCUCAUCUAUGAGUUUGUGCCCAAGGGAGACUUAAAACAACAUCUAUCUGGUAAACUUGAAUUUCUUCAUGAUUCGAAAAUCUAGCUAGACUAUGUUUAUAACUUCUAAGGUGAUCUAAAGGAUCCUAUAUACAGGAAAACGCGGUGGGUCCUAUAUCAACUGGGGCAGUCGACUACGAAUAGCUCUGGAGGCUGCACUAGGUUCGUAUUAAGCUUAGCCAAUGUAAGCAGCUUAAAAUGACUUUCCUUCUGGUGGAUUAACAAAUAAUCACUCCUUUGAAUAGGAUUGGAAUAUUUACAUUCUGGAUGCACACCACCAAUUGUACAUAGAGAUAUAAAAACUACAAACAUAUUGUUGGACGACCAGUUAAAGGCCAAGCUUGCCGAUUUCGGGCUUUCGAGAUCUUUCCCUGUUGGAGGUGAAUCACAUAUUUCAACUGUGGUUGCUGGUACUCCUGGAUACCUGGAUCCUGAGUAAGUGUCGUUAGUGACCAUUACAAUGUGCUGAAAGUGAGUUGUCAUUUCGCACUUUAUAUAUUGGUCAGAGAGUAUAACCAUGUACUUUGCCGUGCAGAUAUUACCAGACAACUCGACUGGGUGAGAAGAGCGAUGUGUACAGCUUCGGAAUUGUGUUAUUGGAGAUGAUCACAAACCAACCUGUGAUUGACCAAUCCCGUGCAAAGUCUCACAUAACACAAUGGGUUGGGUUCGAGCUUAACCAAGGAGAUAUUACGAAGAUCAUGGAUCCAAACCUGCACGGGGAUUACGAUUCUCGUUCUGUAUGGAGAGUUCUUGAACUGGCAAUGUCGUGUGCGAAUCCUUCUUCAGUGAACCGACCAAACAUGUCCC
rnacentral:lncRNA from 1 species